AGCUUUGCACAGUGGCGGUUUCCUGGCCAAUGAGGUUUAUCCGAGGUAGGAUUAUUGCUAAUUUACAAAAAAAAACG
rnacentral:snRNA from 1 species